rnacentral:lncRNA from 1 species
CCUUGUAGUCGCAGAAUCUACUCUAAAACAUGAUUCAAUAUUUUUUAAAAGUAAAUCCAAACCUUGAGUCAGGCCAGGGAGUCCCCUAUUCACAAAAUAAGUACGAAAAUAAAACAAGUUAUUGCUUCCUGUUUUUUCUCUUUGUUUAUUUCACAAAUGCCCCUUAUCCUGUAGGUUUAGCAUAAGGGUCAUUGGAGAUGCUUGACAGCAAAUGCAAAAUCACCCGUUAUCCAGGGUUCAAAUGCGGGGAACUACAAUUGUCUCCAUCUCAGAAGUGGACUUACCUACUUUUUCCCCUAAGGUAUUUACUGGGAUGGGGUUGCAGAAGAGGAAAAGCCUGCAAGUUUCUUCUUGUUUUUUUAGCAAAACCAACCACAUUUUUAUUCACCUAUGAAGUCAUCAAAAGGCUGAAGUUUGAAAUAGUUCUGGCCAUUCUGAAGGUAAAAUAAUGCAAUUUCCAGCUUGUUUCCGUACUGUGGUUUUGGGAAUAUCAGUAGGGUCUAAGUUUAGUCAUUAUAAUAUAAAAAAGUCUCUUUUUAGGGAAAAAAAUAAUUCAAAGGCUGGCUAUACAUUAGAGCACACAUAAGAUAUAGCUAAGAAAGAAAAUGAUUCUGUUACAUUUUGGCCAUAUAAUACUGCCCAUGAAUAGACAG